ACUCCUACGGGAGGCAGCAGUAGGGAAUCUUCCACAAUGGGUGCAAACCUGAUGGAGCAAUGCCGCGUGAGUGAAGAAGGUCUUCGGAUCGUAAAGCUCUGUUGUUAGAGAAGAACACGUGCUAGGUAACUACUAGCGCCUUGACGGUAUCUAACCAGAAAGUCACGGCUAACUACGUGCCAGCAGCCGCGGUAAUACGUAGGUGACAAGCGUUGUCCGGAUUUAUUGGGCGUAAAGGGAGCGCAGGCGGUCUGUUUAGUCUAAUGUGAAAGCCCACGGCUUAACCGUGGAACGGCAUUGGAAACUGACAGACUUGAAUGUAGAAGAGGAAAAUGGAAUUCCAAGUGUAGCGGUGGAAUGCGUAGAUAUUUGGAGGAACACCAGUGGCGAAGGCGAUUUUCUGGUCUAACAUUGACGCUGAGGCUCGAAAGCGUGGGGAGCGAACAGGAUUAGAAACCCUUGUAGUCCCAUGA
rnacentral:rRNA from 1 species